rnacentral:rRNA from 1 species
GGAUCAAUUGAUUGGUCAUGCCGUUGGUAUGUACUAGUCAUAUUGGUUCUCACCUUCUAAGGAACCAUAAUGUCAUUAAUUUGAUGUUUUGGGGAAUUAGGACUAUUACCUUGAAAAAAUUAGAGUGUUUAAAGCAGGCUAACGCUUGAAUACAUUAGCAUGGAAUAAUGAAAUAGGACAUCGCAUUCUAUUUUGUUGGUUUCUAGGAUCGAUGUA